rnacentral:rRNA from 1 species
GUCGUACGCUUCUUUUUCCACCGGAGCUUGCUCCACCGGAAAAAGAAGAGUGGCGAACGGGUGAGUAACACGUGGGUAACCUGCCCAUCAGAAGGGGAUAACACUUGGAAACAGGUGCUAAUACCGUAUAACAAUCGAAACCGCAUGGUUUUGAUUUGAAAGGCGCUUUCGGGUGUCGCUGAUGGAUGGACCCGCGGUGCAUUAGCUAGUUGGUGAGGUAACGGCUCACCAAGGCCACGAUGCAUAGCCGACCUGAGAGGGUGAUCGGCCACAUUGGGACUGAGACACGGCCCAAACUCCUACGGGAGGCAGCAGUAGGGAAUCUUCGGCAAUGGACGAAAGUCUGACCGAGCAACGCCGCGUGAGUGAAGAAGGUUUUCGGAUCGUAAAACUCUGUUGUUAGAGAAGAACAAGGAUGAGAGUAACUGUUCAUCCCUUGACGGUAUCUAACCAGAAAGCCACGGCUAACUACGUGCCAGCAGCCGCGGUAAUACGUAGGUGGCAAGCGUUGUCCGGAUUUAUUGGGCGUAAAGCGAGCGCAGGCGGUUUCUUAAGUCUGAUGUGAAAGCCCCCGGCUCAACCGGGGAGGGUCAUUGGAAACUGGGAGACUUGAGUGCAGAAGAGGAGAGUGGAAUUCCAUGUGUAGCGGUGAAAUGCGUAGAUAUAUGGAGGAACACCAGUGGCGAAGGCGGCUCUCUGGUCUGUAACUGACGCUGAGGCUCGAAAGCGUGGGGAGCAAACAGGAUUAGAUACCCUGGUAGUCCACGCCGUAAACGAUGAGUGCUAAGUGUUGGAGGGUUUCCGCCCUUCAGUGCUGCAGCUAACGCAUUAAGCACUCCGCCUGGGGAGUACGACCGCAAGGUUGAAACUCAAAGGAAUUGACGGGGGCCCGCACAAGCGGUGGAGCAUGUGGUUUAAUUCGAAGCAACGCGAAGAACCUUACCAGGUCUUGACAUCCUUUGACCACUCUAGAGAUAGAGCUUCCCCUUCGGGGGCAAAGUGACAGGUGGUGCAUGGUUGUCGUCAGCUCGUGUCGUGAGAUGUUGGGUUAAGUCCCGCAACGAGCGCAACCCUUAUUGUUAGUUGCCAUCAUUCAGUUGGGCACUCUAGCAAGACUGCCGGUGACAAACCGGAGGAAGGUGGGGAUGACGUCAAAUCAUCAUGCCCCUUAUGACCUGGGCUACACACGUGCUACAAUGGGAAGUACAACGAGUCGCGAAGUCGCGAGGCUAAGCUAAUCUCUUAAAGCUUCUCUCAGUUCGGAUUGUAGGCUGCAACUCGCCUACAUGAAGCCGGAAUCGCUAGUAAUCGCGGAUCAGCACGCCGCGGUGAAUACGUUCCCGGGCCUUGUACACACCGCCCGUCACACCACGAGAGUUUGUAACACCCGAAGUCGGUGAGGUAACCUUUUGGAGCCAGCCGCCUAAGGUGGGAUAGAUGA